CUGAUAUUUAGGCCUCCUUAAGCGAUAUGCUAUUGUUCCUGAAUUUGUACGGUCACACUCGAAACGCAUGAGGUAUGUUGCCAUCUGUAUGUUGCCAUGAGAAAGCGACAGCUCCAGAGCCGCAGACUAGUGUCCAUAACGUAUGGAUCAUUUUUCAAGUGCACCAGGUUGGUGAGGGAGUUGUCGUUUGCAAGUGAAGAUCUGGUUAGAAAAAAAUUGAAAAGCACUAAACUGUCAAAAUAGGAGUUUUGCUAUAUUGAGAUUCAUUGAGAAUGUUGGGGGCCUCGUGUUGGAAUUUUUCAUUCAAAAGAAAUAUGUGAUUGUUCCUACGUAUAAUAUUUGCUUCUUGAAGCUUUAGGACCCACUGGAUAAAGAGAGGAUUCAAGCAAAAGGUGGAAGAAAUGCCUGGACCCUUGAUGUGCAGUGUCAAGAAGCCUAGUGGUGACCCUCACACCUCCAGAACUUGUCUUAUUAGAGGCCCUUCAGAGUACCUGACAUUCAAAGGCCUCCCUAACUCUAGCCAAGCCAAUGCUAAGCGAACAGUCUGGAAAAAUACUCUUGUUCGCCCUUCUCUGUAAGUCCUGUGUAAUAUGAAGACUUUCCUCUCCCGCACCAUUAACUGGACAUCUAGAAUGACAGGGUAAGCAUCUACCCAUUUAUAUGCAAUUAAAAAAUUACCACCAAUGACCAUACCCUGUAGCUAUCCCUGAGGCAAUCUGUCAUAAUUUGAGACCGUGUAGCUCAAACUCAAAGGCGGGUGGUAUCCACCACAAUGGUAUCUUGCUAUCUCACAAAAGACUCACUGGCUGCUAGGAAUUCAGUGGACAGAGUUCUAGAAUUUAAAUGAGGAGACAUUUUGCUCCCUUUAAUUGAGUACUCUGGGAAGUCACCUCCUCACUUUCUGUAGAAUGAAAUUAUCUCCAAACUCC
rnacentral:lncRNA from 1 species